rnacentral:rRNA from 1 species
UACGUAGGCAGCGAGCGUUGUUCGGAAUUACUGGGCGUAAAGAGUGUGUAGGCGGUGCUCUAAGUCUGUCGUGAAAUCUCCCGGCUUAACUGGGAGGGUGCGGCGGAAACUGGUGUGCUCGAGGGUGGGAGAGGUAAGCGGAAUUCCUGGUGUAGCGGUGAAAUGCGUAGAUAUCAGGAGGAACACCUGCGGUGUAGACAGCUUACUGGACCACUUCUGACGCUGAGACACGAAAGCGUGGGUAGCAAACAGG